UAUACAACGGAAUAAUUAGAAAGAUAGUGUUUUCCCUCAGUACCGAUAUGAAAGCAUGGUUGGUUUGGCUUGUUGUAACCAAUUGGAUCUCUAGAUCUUCGCCUCUAUUAUGCUGGAAGUGUCAUGCAAGAAACCAAAGGGAAUGUAACCGCAUCGGGACACCACAAGUAUGUCACAGCAAUCAGGCGUGUGUUACCGAAUGGAGAGAAGAGAAUGGAAUUACAAUCAUGACGAAAAGGUGCAAGCAGAAAGAAGUAUGUCAAAGAAUGCAGAGUCAAAAUAGACAAAGAUGUAAAGCAUAUAGGUAAACUGAUACACUUAACUCUAUACCUUAAACUGACUUAUUAUUUGACGUCUGGUAAAAUAUCACCAGUAAAAGAUUUAUUGAAUGCAACUUACUUAUCCUAACAUGGAGGGCAACGACGCUGUUAUAACAGGGGUGUUCUGUUUAUAACACCUUAUGCCCGAUUACCUAUGUUUCAUCGAUUUGUUUCCGUAUACCGAUUCCUUAAUAAAACGACAUCGUUUUAGAAGGGGGUUAAACCCUAGCAUAUGUUUCGACUGCUGCUGGGAGAAAAGCAACUGUAACCGGGAUCGAAUCCCACCCCAUACAACAUCACGGCCAACUGAUACACCAACCACUGUAGCUACCAGUACAACUUUUUCAACUCCGAUCACAACCGGGAAGAUAGAACCUUCGCUGUCAUUACUGGUACCAACAUCAAAAACGGAUUCCAUUUUGCCCACAACGUUUUACCCGGCAUUGGUAAACCGACCGAGAACUACCUGCUGUGUUUGCACUCGUGCCGGGGAGCCUAACACGAGACCGGUCGAAGCAGCUUUGCUAAUUGUGGAACCAGACUUUGACGAAUGGAGAAAUUAUAGUUAAUAAAAUACCUACGAAAUGUUACGAGAAUGCAAAUAGUUACCAAAGGAAACAUUAUAUGCUUGUAAAGUGUUGGCGCAUAUACAUCGUAAACCAUUCGAACGCUUUUAGUCGUAAAAACGCCCAAAUAAUUUUCGUAUGUCGACAUUUUCACAAAAAUGACAGGUAGUAAAAAGAGAAUAUA